rnacentral:rRNA from 1 species
UACAGAGGCCUCGAGCGUUGUUCGGAAUUACUGGGCGUAAAGGGAAUGUAGGUGGUGACGUAAGUCAGAUGUGAAAGCCCUGGGCUUAACCCGGGAAGUGCAUUUGAUACUGCGUUGCUGGAGUGCGAGAGAGGAAAGCGGAAUUCCCAGUGUAGGAGUGAAAUUCGUAGAUAUUCGGAGGAACACCCGUGGCGAAGGCGGUUCUCUGGGACGGUACUGACGCUGAGACGCGAAAGCGUGGGGAGCGAACAGG